ACUGAGCUGUGCUAGUCUCCUGCGGUCUGACAGUUUUUCAGUAUUUCCUGCUUUUCAUGACCUUGAUGAUCUCAAGGAGUACUGGCCAGGUAUUUUGUAGCAUGUCCCUCAAUUUAGGGUGUGCCUGUGAAUUUUUUCAUGAUGAGGGCAGGAUUAUUGGGUUUGGGGAAAGAACGUCACAAAGGAAAAGCGUCCUUCUCAGCUCAUAUUCGGGAAGCCUCUCGAAAGCCAAGUUCCCAGACACCAGACAAAGGUCAAACUCACUGGCAGACUUUUCUCUCUCUUUUUUUUUUUAACGUUUAUUUAUUUUUGAGAGAGGAGAGAGUGCGUGCUGGGGACGGGCAGGGAGAGUAGGAGACAGAGGAUCUGAAGUAGGCUCUGCACCAACAGCAGCAAGCCAGAUGUGGGAACCCACAAACCGUGAGAUCACGACCUGAGACGAAGUCGGACACUCAACCGACUGAGCCACCCAGGUGCCCCCACUUGCAGACUUUUCUAAGGGAAGUAGCCUUAGGCCCACGGAGACAGGCUCCUGCCUUUGAAGUUUUGACCCAGCCCCAGGGAAGCUCAAGCUGGGUAUUACGAUCACCAGGCUGGCAUUCCACGGCCACCCCUGAAGUCUGAGCUGUGACGUCUGCUGCAGACGAGCGGUGAAGCAGAAUAGAUUCCCCUGUUCUUUUGGGAAAUGACUCCAACUUCAUGGUUCUGCCAGAAAUGAUCCAUCACAGCAUGGAACGACCACCUGACCCCAAGCCAACCAAUCAUUCUUGCCUGGGAUUCCUUCCCAUGGAGCUGGUAUGGGGAAGCCCUCUUCCCUCUUUGCUCACCACCGUAAGCCUAGAAGCCUGGGCUACACGUGGCCGUGACUCCAGGCCCGCGAGGACGGCCCACCUGAGCGAACAGAGGUCUGUGCACUCCCAGCCCAAAGGGCCCUGUCUUCAGCAUAUCCAUCUGGACUGAUGCAACGAAGCUGCUCACAACACAGCUGACGAGGCCAAAGCAUGGAAAAACAGUGCAGGGAAGAACACAUCCAAAUCAAGUAGGACUUGAUGGGCCACCUGCUAUUACCAUGCACGGGGCAGUUUCCUCGGGUCACGUGAGCCAGAGACCAGCCCCAGGCCCAGAGAGCACCCACCCUUCACACAUCCCAGAUGCCAUCCUCCUGUUUUCACGGGACGGCGUUCUCACUCACAAAGUCUGCGUGACCAGGCCCUUCUCCACUUCGGGCUACCAAGUGGUCCACCUUUCUCUCCUUCCAAGUUGCAAAAACAAAAGAACCAUGGCAGGGUAUUAGGUGGAGAAUAUUUUUCCAUCGAGGCUCAGAGGAAGGCCUAGCAAUCAUUCCUGGAGCUAUGGCCUCUGAGCCUCCGCCACCAGCCCGCUUCUGGCUGGGCCGGCCUCUGCUUCCGCCUCCGGUGCACAUGUCAGUCAGAGGAGCCUCUCUGAUCGCUACUUUAAAUAACAAUCCCUACUUCCACUCCCUCCUGAUAUCUUACCCUACUGGGCAUUUUUUUCUCCACCUUUGAUCACCACCUAACACGGUAUCUAUUUUCUGUUCCCAACCCAAUCAGAACGUAAA